rnacentral:rRNA from 1 species
UGAAUUUUAAGCAUAUAAUUAAGCGGAGGAAAAGAAACUAACUAGGAUUCCCUCAGUAAGGGCGACUGAAGCGGGAAGAGCUCCAUUUGUGAAUCAGCGCUUGCGCCGAAUUGUGGUUGUGUGUACGUACUGUGACUCUUGCCAAGUCCCUUGGAACAGGGCAGCAGAGAGGGUGAGACUCCCGUUCGCUUGAUGUCAAAAAGGUGCACUACAAAAUGAGAGUCGAGUUGUUUGGGAUUGCAGCUCUAAGCGGGUGGUAAAUUCCAUCGAAAGCUAAAUAUUGGUGGGAGACCGAUAGCGUACAAGUACCGUGAGGGAAAGAUGCAAAGAACUUUGAAAAGAGAGUUAAAGAGUACCUGAAAUUGCUGAAAGGGAAGCGAAGGAAACCAGUGUCAUCCCCGUUAUAUUUCUUCACCCGCUUGCGGUUGGAGCGCUGUGACUGGAUUGGUCAUCCUUGUUUGAUCGCGUUGGAAACGGUUUUCUGUGGCAACGCUUUUGACUGAGGUUGGCGAAAUGGUUUUCUUUACCCCGUCUUGAAACACGGACCAAGGA